rnacentral:rRNA from 1 species
AUCUUCCGCAAUGGGCGAAAGCCUGAUCCAGCAAUGCCGAGUGAGUGAAGAAGGCCUUCGGGUUGUAAAGCUCUUUUGUCAGGGAAGAAACGGUGAGGGCUAAUAUCCCUUGCUAAUGACGGUACCUGAAGAAUAAGCACCGGCUAACUACGUGCCAGCAGCCGCGGUAAUACGUAGGGUGCAAGCGUUAAUCGGAAUUACUGGGCGUAAAGCGUGCGCAGGCGGUUUUGUAAGUCUGAUGUGAAAGCCCCGGGCUCAACCGGGGAAUUGCAUUGGAGACUGCAAGGCUAGAAUCUGGCAGAGGAGGGUAGAAUUCCACGUGUAGCAGUGAAAUGCGUAGAUAUGUGGAGGAACACCGAUGGCGAAGGCAGCCCCCUGGGUCAAGAUUGACGCUCAUGCACGAAAGCGUGGGGAGCAAACA